CAAGCGGUGGAGCAUGUGGUUUAAUUCGACGCAACGCGAAGAACCUUACCUGGGCUCGAACGGCUUAAGACCGGUGUAGAAAUACAUUUUUUCCGCAAGGAACUUGAGUCGAGGUGCUGCAUGGCUGUCGUCAGCUCGUGUCGUGAGAUGUUGGGUUAAGUCCCGCAACGAGCGCAACCCUUGCCCUGUUUUGCCAUCAUUCAGUUGGGAACUAUCAGGGGACCGCCAGCGAUAAGCUGGAGGAAGGUGGGGAUGACGUCAAGUCAUCAUGGCCUUUAUGUCCAGGGCUACACACGUGCUACAAUGGACGGUACAAUGCGCUGCCAACCCGCGAGGGGGAGCAAAUCGCAAAAAACCGUUCUCAGUUCGGAUCGCAGGCUGCAACUCGCCUGCGUGAAGCUGGAAUCGCUAGUAAUGGCAUAUCAGAACGAUGCCGUGAAUACGUUCCCGGGGCCUUGUACACACC
rnacentral:rRNA from 1 species